AGUGAACGCUGGCGGCGUGCCUAAUACAUGCAAGUCGAACGGACAAGUAAGAGCUUGCUCUUAUGAGUUAGUGGCGCACGGGUGAGUAAUGUAUAGCUAAUCUGCCCUACACUAGAGGACAACAGUUGGAAACGGCUGCUAAUACUCUAUACACCUCUCUAGCAUAAGUUAGAUAGGGAAAGUUUUUCGGUGUAGGAUGAGGCUAUAUUGUAUCAGCUAGUUGGUGAGGUAAUGGCUCACCAAGGCUAUGACGCAUAACUGGUCUGAGAGGAUGAUCAGUCACACUGGAACUGAGACACGGUCCAGACUCCUACGGGAGGCAGCAGUAGGGAAUAUUGCUCAAUGGGGGAAACCCUGAAGCAGCAACGCCGCGUGGAGGAUGACACUUUUCGGAGCGUAAACUCCUUUUGUUAGGGAAGAA
rnacentral:rRNA from 1 species